rnacentral:rRNA from 1 species
CAGCAGUAGGGAAUCUUCCACAAUGGGCGCAAGCCUGAUGGAGCAACACCGCGUGAGUGAAGAAGGGUUUCGGCUCGUAAAACUCUGUUGUUGAAGAAGAACGUGCAUGAGAGUAACUGUUCAUGCAGUGACGGUAUUCAACCAGAAAGUCACGGCUAACUACGUGCCAGCAGCCGCGGUAAUACGUAGGUGGCAAGCGUUAUCCGGAUUUAUUGGGCGUAAAGCGAGCGCAGGCGGUUGCUUAGGUCUGAUGUGAAAGCCUUCGGCUUAACCGAAGAAGUGCAUCGGAAACCGGGCGACUUGAGUGCAGAAGAGGACAGUGGAACUCCAUGUGUAGCGGUGGAAUGCGUAGAUAUAUGGAAGAACACCAGUGGCGAAGGCGGCUGUCUGGUCUGCAACUGACGCUGAGGCUCGAAAGCAUGGGUAGCGAACAGGAUUAGA